GCCUCUGUAGCUCAGUUGGUUAGAACACUGCACCGGAAUCUCAGGUUCAAUUCCUGCCAGGGACC